AGACCAGUGAGUAAGAGAAUAGAGGGAGUGGGUCAGCUUAAACUAGCCUAGUCUGGGUGAGCAGGUCAAACUAUACCUAGUGUCACGUACACCCGGAGUUAUCUAUAUGUAACGGAGAAGAAAAUAUAAAAACAGAAUGGGAGAUGAAUCCCGUGAGACAGGACGGAGAGCAGCAGGACGGGGCGGAGCUAAGAAGAGAAUGCGCUCCAAGUCUGCCAAGAGAACGACAAAGCUGUCUCCGCUCCAGGAGAGGUUGAAGGAUACGGAUUGUUAUCUAAACCAUGAAAUGGAGAGAAUACUAAGCGCUCCAACAACAAAGGAUCGUCUCCUCCUGAUCUCUAGUUUACUAUCUGAA